rnacentral:rRNA from 1 species
AGUGGCGGACGGGUGAGUAACGCGUGGGUAACCUGCCUUGUACAGGGGGAUAACAGUUGGAAACGGCUGCUAAUACCGCAUAAGCGCACAGUACCGCAUGGUACCGUGUGAAAAACUCCGGUGGUAUGAGAUGGACCCGCGUCUGAUUAGCUAGUUGGUGGGGUAACGGCCUACCAAGGCGACGAUCAGUAGCCGACCUGAGAGGGUGACCGGCCACAUUGGGACUGAGACACGGCCCAA